UAUUUGUAUUUUCAAAUUAAUUUUUUUCCUGUUUUUUUCUUUUUUAGUGUGUUUUGUUUUGUUUUUUUGAGUCAUUUUUCUCCAGGCUUUAAACUCACUAUGCAGACCAUGUUGGCCUCUGUCAUUGUUUCUCUUACCUCUGCCUACUGAGAAUAGCGACAGUCGGUAUGGGCUAGUUUGCCCAACUACACAGCGAUAACUUUCAUAUUUUUAUAACUUACAUAUUCUUUUUUGUUUAUGUGUUUGCCCAUACGUGUUUUCACUUUUUCUCUAUGGAUUUGUAGAAGUUCACUAUAUGCAUGAUACCAGUCCUUGCCUGUAUCGAAAUGUCUGUUCUUCAGCAGUGUUGUCACAUACACAUUCUACCUGACAUAAACACAAAAAUGACCUUCUGCUGAAGACAGACUACUCUGUAUUAUGUCACAACCAAGAAUGAAGGCCUUGUUUUGAUACGACUUACAUAGUGCCUCAGAUUCUCUCCUCUCCUGCACUUGAUCUUAGCCAAAAGGCCGAGAAGCGAUUCUCUCCUUUCCUGAAAGAUGGACGUGGAUGGAGGUUAGGGGGGUUAGUAGACGAUCAAUAUAUAAAAAUGCUUUGCUUGAAAUUCUCAAAGAAUCAAUAGAAAAUAUUAUAAUAAAAGAAUGGAAAAUAUCUAAGAGGCAAUGGACAAGUCAAAUACAUAGUAUUCAUUAGAAUACAACAUAGACUCAGAAAUAUCAGAUUUUGGAUAAAGAAUACUUCAUUGAUAUGAAAGAUUAGGAUUAGUGUCUAUAAAAAGGGAAUGCAUGUGUGAUGAACUGAUGGCAAUCCUUUGAGACAGUUUGUUAGGUUCCACAGGAAGAAGUGGUCUCUAGAAUACUGCCCUUAGAAGUUACUAGUUUCAUGUCUCAGGUUCGGGAUGGAAAAGUUCAGUCAGUCAUGUAGUUGUUCUUGGUGAUCAUAGGAAUUUCCUCCUUUGACAGAUUGCUGUCUUCAGUGUGGGACCUCUUAUUCUUAGGCAUUUGUGACUUUCAGGUCACAAGAUGGCUUCAAAUCAUACCAAAUUCAUUCUGGUGAGAUAUUUACACUACAGAAUAAUGAAUAAGACACAGAUAAUGUAAGGCUCAUCUUAAGAAUGGUCAAGAAAAGUCCCUUUUGUUAUUUAAGUCCCUCUAGCCCUAGCUUUUAGGAUAUUGUUGAAUUUACCAGAUUUUUCUAGCAAAAUUUUUCUUAGUAUCAUUAUUCUUGGUGUGGGAACUAUGUUGACUUAUUCAAAAUCAGACGUGUUACUGGAAUAUUCCCUAGUUCUCUAGCCAACUGGUUGUAUAAGUUUCCUCUUGUUAGGGUAAGCAUUUUGCCGCUCAGAGAGUAGCUCAGUGGUGUCAGGUACAUCUGAGGGCUCCUCACCCCGCUGUUUUCACUUUGCCUUUCCAUUCAAACACAGAAUGCUUUGUCUGGGGAUUAAAAAGAUCUACAGUGGGCACUGCAUUGUAUUUAUGUCCUAAGAUUAUACAAUGAAAGCAACCAUGAGCUGUGGCAUUGCUACCUGAUUUUUUUUUUCUUGUGAUUCCCUCCCAUUUUCUCAAUGCUUGUCCUGUCUUUAUAGCAUUGGCAGAGCUAUGCGGACACAACAAAGAAAAUGACUAACGGAUGGAAGUGAUAAAUAUCAGAUGAAAGAGAAGAGGUCGAGAAGGCUACAGUCAGAGUUUUGAUUCUCAAAUGAAUGCAUCUUCAAGGAGCUCUGUGCCUGCAUUAGGGAGAAACUUUUGCCUAAACUGAAGUCAGGGAGAGUGCUGAAAGAACGUUAGUGCAAGGCUGAGGGGGUGAGGACGAGAAAGGAGGAAAGUAUGUGUGUGCUGAGUAACGUUGGAGAACUAUUUUCAAGGUGAAACUACUAAGACAACCCUUUGCCAAUUUUUUCUGGAACAUGAAGUCACCUCUUUAUUAUGUAGGGGAGCAGUGGUGUGGAUAAUUAACAGAGUGGGUAGUUCCUUACACUUUUCUAUUAGCACAGGCAAGGGCAGAGCUUGGUCGUGUUGUGCAGUAGACAGAGGAAGAAGAUGGCUUUCCCCUUCCUGUCCCCUCAAAUCUUCAAUGGUUCUUCCUUCUCUUUGUUUUGCAUUUUCAGUAAAUAGACACAACCAGAAGAGAAUUUUUGGUCUUCUCAUCACCAUAUCUUUCAGCCUCUUGUACCUCCUGCUGUAGGUUCUCUCCCUCAGUCACUGUGGGGACAAUGGGUUCCUUAGAUACAAUCAUUAAAUACCCCCUCCAUUAUUCACCACUCUGUAGUGUCAAGACUGUACCCUCUGGCCUAUUCAAGGACAUUAUGCUGGCAGAUCUUGCCUCUCUUCCUUCAUUUUCUGCUUUUAUUAGAUUGCUUCCAGGAUGGCCCCACCUUACAAACAACAAUAAAAUACUUUAAAAUCCACCUCACAUUAACUUUAUCUCCUUUAUAGUAACUUUCCUAGAAAAGGCUCCUCUAUAUAUGUAUGCCAUAGACUAUUCCAAUUUAACUUCUAACCUAGUGACAAUCUUGAAACAAUCUUUUACGGGGAUACGUUGGUGAUCAGUUCUAACUCUCACGAUUUAUUUUACAAGAGUAAGCACACUCUCAUUCUUAGAACACAUUUAUAUGGAUUUCUAGGAUGCUACCACAUCCCACCUUAGUCAGCCCUUCUCGCCUUGCCUUCAAGUUUGGAAUUCAACUUCUAUCACUGUUUUCAUUCUCAUAAGUUUAAAUAGUGCUUUCAAACCAAGGAAUUUUUUUUUUUUUGCCUGAAUACUCUUCCUUUAUUUAAAUUUCCUCUCCACCAUUUCUUCAAUGUGUCUGCUCUCAGCCUUUUACCACAAUUGGUUUUCAAUUGCGUUGGGUUACAUGAAAGACCAAGGAGGGAAACUUGCAACCCCUUCUGCACCUCCUCGAUAACCGUAAAACUCUGAUCUCUCGGGGUAAUCUUUCUUCACAUUGUGUGAAGGUUUAUUUUCACUUGUGAUUAUGUACCGGGAAAAAACUAAAUGCUGGCAGUAUUUUGGUAUUGUCAUUUCUGUGGACCAUCACCAGGUUUUCUGUUUUGUAAGUGUUUGUCCGUCUUUAUGGCAGUCUAGCGAUGGACGGUUGUUUCACUGCUGAUUGGUUGUAACGAAAAGCUAAUGGCCAAUAGCAGGGCAGGAAGUAGGGGUGGAACUUCCGGGUAACACCCACAGGAGAAAGCAGAAGCAGGAGAAUGGUGAGCCGACAUGGAGAGGAGGGGAGAAGACCUGAAUCAGAGCAGAGCAGAGAAUAUAGAGCUAGCCAAGUGAAAGGUCUGAUAGUGAGGUCAAGUUAGAUGAGAGAGGUGGGAGACUGCCCCGGCAGAAGGCCUUGGCAUUAACCUUUAUUAGCAGCCUUCGAGCCUUUUUAUACCUCAGGCUGGUCCAAGAAAGUAGCACUGUAUUGAUCGACAUUGGCAUGUCAGUUGGUGGUAUCAUAAGAAGGCCUUGUUUAGGCAACCUUAUUGUUUGGAUUUUAUAGCUGCAGCUUCCCUAUCACGUGUGGAAGGGCUCUCCUGUAUUUUUAAGAAAAAGUCUUCCUUGUAAGUCAAUACAGAAAAGCAAAUAACUUGCCAGCGAUCCUUGUAUGACUGGCCUCUUUAUCCAUAUCCUCGGCUCUAAUCAAUAUCUGGCACACUGUGUGUUUACUUGUAAAAACUUAAAUGAGAAAAUAACUUUCCGGUGUCAGCCUUUUUACUUGACUCAUUAAUCGCAGUGCCUCACACGGCACCUGCCACCUGAAAAGCGCUGAGUUUGUUUACUGGAUGAUUGACUGGAAUGAACACAGAUAGCUUUUUACCUUUGCUUUACAGGGUUUGGAAGCUGGCUUUGCAUCAUAUUUGGUUGGCGUAACGGCAAAGGGGACAGAGAAAUAGGAAGGACCUCAGUGUAGGCUGGAGGCCACAGGCCAGAGGCCAAGUUGAUUGGAAUCAAAUCAGGCUUUGGAAAGGAGUCUGUGCUCCACAAGAGGAAGACACGAGCUGGACACGACUGCAGCCAUGAGAAUAACAUGAGAACUUCUCAUGUGAAAGUGGCUAGCCUCAGAGUGUUUUUGGUCAGUAGGAAACAAAACCUCAAGUGUGUUUGGUAGAGAGGCUAUUUUUAGGUUGCAGUAUUUAGCGAUGUCAUGAACUGUAAGUUCAUCAAUAAUGGGUAUUUGAAAAAAAGAUGAGGGACUAACUUUUUUUUCCUUGAAAAGUACUUCUGUCUUACAAAGAGAGGCGUGAGAAAAAAUAACCACAUAUUAUGUAUAUGAGAAUCAGCAGCUGCAAUGUGGUGAAAAUCAAGCAGUGGGGUUUUUAAUUAAAAUAUUCUAAGUUCAAAACCUCCUGUCUUUUUUUUUUGGAAAUAGUUUUUAAUAUAAGAUAUGGCCACGGAAGCCCAAAGUAAGCCUUAAAUACUACUGUAAAACUUAUGAAAUAGUGAACUGGAAUAUUAUCCACCCCCCUAUUAGCUCAGUUUUGUUAUUUGUAUAUUAAGGCUACCAGACUGGUAUAAAGUUAAUAAACAUGUUUCUUUUCUUUAUUAAUAAAGACAGCCUAGAUGGCUUUAAUUAUUAGCCUUUAAGGAUACUGUGAAUCUCGGAAGUGAAGAGAUUACUCGGAAGUGAAACUUACAGGUGCUGUUUUCUUUGGGCUCAGGAAAGAUAAAUGUCAACAGUUUGUGUUAUGUUUCAUUAUAUUUCAGCUUUAAAAUUCUGGGAAUGGAAAUGCUUAUUAUAUUAAAUGUAGCCUUUGCAAAAAAUGAUAAUAUUUAUAUGAACUGUGCUGAUACAUUUUUGGAGAAUUCGAAGGCUUAGACACUGUUUCUCCAGAGCGUGCUGGGACUUGCCAAUCACAAUAUUCGACCUUGGGUACUAAGCAAGGGCAUUAUACUAAGAAUAUGCAGGGACCUUUCGGGAAACAGUAGUCAUAUUUACCACACAUGCGCAGGAAAGCCCUGACCCAGGAGCGAUUAGUAGAUAUCGCAUAACCGAAGCUUUGAUUUAACUAAAUAUAUUCUUGGAGUUUUGUUCAUCAGCGUUGUCUCCUAAAGUGUUUUUAGAAAAUAUUUUCACAUCAGAAAUGUGAGGCGUUUUAACCACAUUUUUUCCAACUAACAUUUGAACCACUUAGAAUUGCCUGGGAGAAACCAGGUGAUGCUGAUUAUAACCUAACUUCCUGGAUGGACAGCUCAAAGAUGCUUUCUGAGUUAGCUAUGUAAGAAUUUUGCAUUAGGGAGUACAGAGAGAUAGUUCCAGAUAAUUCAGCUUUAAAGAGGAAGUUAGCAUAUGGCAAUAUAAUGUGCUCCAACUUUCAUUUUUUUUUAAUAGUAACUAUUUCUCGUUCUCUAUCUAAAAUGUACUAUGUAAAGCAACUUUUCAAAUACAUACAUGUCUUUGGUAUGUUGACAAUGUUUUUCCAGGAAAGUAUAAUGCAGUCUUGCAAACCACUGGUAUUAUUUUUGAAGCACAUUUGUUGUCUGUAAAUAAACUCGGGAAAGGGAUAUUCCCUUGUGGAAAGAAACAUGCCUUUCAUGUAACUGGUACAGUGGUUUGUAUCACCUUUCUUACAUGGCUUUAAACCUCCCUGAAUUUUUUUACCUGACCUUUUAUACUCUUCAAAUGGAAGACUUUGAAUAUGCUUUUGAAAGAUAGUAAGUAUCCUAUUAAGUAUUCUGCAGUUAUCUAUAGUGUCAGAUGAUCCAAACUCAUUUUUUUUGAUUUCGAGGAUUUUGGAUUUUCUUCUUUUCUUCUUUGACUUUAUGAUCUUGAGUUUAAUCAAAGAAUUCUCAGUUAAUUUUGAAUAGGAUUUUUUUUAAAAUAAAUUAAAUCUUUUCAUUCUUCCCCUGGCCCUUCAUUUUGCUUAGUGUCCCAUUCUGGACUUGAACUUACAACUGCCUGCCUGUCUCCCAGAUGCUAGGGGUCCAGUCAAGGGAUGUGAUACCAUGCCCACCUCUUUCUCUCUUUUGUUUUUCUGGAUAGUUUAUUUGAUAUCUAUAAUGAUCUUUGUCAUCCACUUGUCUUUAUGUUUCCUACUUUGGUGUCUCUCUUGGUAAUCUAGAACAAGUAGAGAUAAGCCAGACUUCAUGCUCUAGACAAAGUUUGCUUGGAAGUAGAGUUGCCUAUUGAAAUUGUGUUCACACCCUGACCAUAUUGUCUCACACUGGUCUGGUAUAGGUUGAGAGUUUUUGUACUCAAACUCAUUUCCUUUAGACUUUUGAUUGAGUGACAGAUUUAUUUUCAUGCCCAUCUCUUUAUGGUUACUAAUAUGAGGGUCACUGAGGCGGGUUCCCAGCACUGGGGCUCAAGUGUUAUUUCUUGGCUUGCUUUUUUGAUGAACCAAUCAUCACAUAUAGGCAUGGUUCAUUCAUCUUUUUUUCUAUUCAAGGUUUUGUCCUUUCUUUCUUUCUCUCUCUCUUUCUUUCUUUCUUUCUUUCUUUCUUUUUUCCUUUCUUAAUUUCUUUCUUUCCUUUAUUUAUUUUUGCACUAGUAUGUUCCUACUUGAGAUUUAUGCCCUACUGUGAAUUACUCUGGUAUCAUAGUUAUAUUACUUUGGAUACCCUGUUAUGCAUUUUCAUAGUCUUCUAAAACUUCAAUUAUUUUUUUAUACCUCAUAUUAUAGGGACUCCAUUUAACAGUUGAGAGGUUUUUGGCAACUUCAAAACUACCCCAGUAUUCUAGGAUCAUCAUUUUCCUUUGCACUUAGAUUUAUUGAAAUAUUUAACUUGCUUUUUUAAUUGGUUAUUACUUGUAGAGAUUAGUACUUCUAAAUGAAGUGUACCUCAGAUUAAUUGAGACAAUUAAAACCAAAAUGUGGGCUUGUAUGAUGGCUCAGUAGGUAAGGGCCCUGUCUGUGAGGCCUACUGAUUUAGAUCCCAAAACUCCCCAUGGGAGUGCAGGGAGACACUUGGCCAACAGACGUGCCCUCUGACCUCUGCACAGGUCCUGUGAAGAGUGGUGCUGAACUCUGGGUGGUGAGAUGUCGGAGGCUGGAAGGUAACCACUGAAUGGCUAGACAUGAAAGACUGUGUACAUAUGUGCACUGAAGAUUUUUCAAAGUUUUAAAGAGAAACUUCAACAAACUCCACUGAUAUUUAUAGUUGCUGGAGGAACCAUUCUCUUAACCAUCAACACUCUGUAGCAAUUGUCUUCUCCUUUAUCCUGUUAUACGGGAGCACAUUCCAAUUUAGGGUACUUUAACUGUCAGAAAUAUCAAAAGGAGCUUGUGCACUUUAGGCAAUCUUUCUGAACCCCUGUCCAGAAAACACAGGGAGAACGAUUUUGAAGCAAUCUUUGUUUUGCCUUCCCAUUGCCCUUUCACCCCCAGAUAUAGCUUUCAGCUAAUUAGUGUGGCCUGGCAUUCCAGUGAGAGUUAUAUUGUGCUCUACCCAGAGAGGUAGAUUGGGCAAGGUCACACAACUGCAGCCUGGCUGGGAUUUAUUUGUAAAAGCCGCAUUUCGUUUAGCUACUUGACACCUAACAUUUCAUUUGUCCAGGAGUGCAGGAUUUCAAGUUUCCAAUGAACUGAAACUUAGCGUUUUAACUUCAGGGGUCAACAUCUUCACUCUGUGUCGGCCUCUUGUCGUCCACUCAGUUUGUUCCAGAUUGGAAUGAAAUCCAUUGAUAAUUUCGGCUCUUUAAAUGCUGGAGGGGGAAUUAAUUAUUGGCUUGGAAUCUCCUUGACUUUUGUAUGUAGGCACUUUACCUAAAGAUUGAAAGGACAGUGAAGGAACAAAGACCUACUCAUCAUUUUAUCAUGAAAUGUGCUUUGGUGACAGCAAAUCAGAGGACGUGCUCCGUUAGACCUUCAGAGUUCAAUGACGCCAAUUAAUUCACAAUUACUGGCAACAGGGCUGCAUUUGAAGGAUCUUUUACAAUGAGACUCUUAAACAGGAUACUUGUAGACAUCUGCUAUACUGUACCUUCACCAUGACAUAGCCAGUAUUUGCUAAGAUCUUCUGAGCUUUUACAGUUUUACACAAAAGGACGUAUUGGCAAUUCUGUUUUCCUCUGUAAUAGGCAGAGUGUAAAAUACUAAGCUAGAAUUCAGCAUUGUUAUAGAAAUGUUCAAUGUCACCAGAGCGAUUGACUCGUUCCACCUGGCUCUCAGACAUUUGUAGGAGCGAAACAUAUGUACCUUAAUUGCAAAAAUGUAGGCUUAAUGAACACACCGGCGUUGUGUUAUACCAAAUGCAACAAUCAACAUGAUGCAAGCCACUUAAGAGCAUGUCACAAUGUUUGGCUCUGAAGUCGUGUGCCUUUGGCAGUAUUUCAGAGAAGAAUGUGUUCUUUGCAUUUGCCGUCCUGUGAGCCAAUAAUAAAGUGUUCAGCAUAUGAGGCUGGUAUUUAUUUUAAAUUGCUAUGUCAAUAUUUUUGUUUAAAAGCAAGCUUGAUUCCUUGUGUGGACUUUGUUGAAGCUUUCUAUCACUGCUUUUUAUUUGAGUUUGAUUUAGCUGCUUUUUUCCCUGAUUUCGUGUUUUGCAGAGUGGCUGCCUUGAAAGCCUUCUGAUUGGGAUGGGGAGGGGAUGGCGAAGUUGCUGGGUGAAUUUCAAAGCCCAGAAUGUAUAAAAAAGGAGCACACAGUUGCUGAAAGCAUCAGGGAAGUGACUACAAUUAAGCUCUGUGUAUCUUGUGACCUUGAAGCUUCUCGAAAUAGCCACCAUGUCUGGAAUAAUGGAAGCUCCAGAUUCAAAUGACUCAGGACGACUUUACCCACAAAGCCCCAUGAUCCUUUGGAGAUAUCUCCAGAUCCAAUGCCUGUGUUUAGUUGGCAUGGAAAAUUCUAGAGCAUUAUGCUUUUGUUUUAAAAGACGUGAACAGAGUUACACUAUUGUGGGAUGCUGCCCAAGCAAUUUAAUCAUGAUCUGGUGUCAAAGCUAAUUUCCUCAGCAGUUGAGGGACGCUUUAUUUAACGCAGCUGCAAUUGUCCUGUAGAUGCUGCAGACACCUUCCAGCACAUUGUGGGCAGUUUUGCUCCUGAACUUUUACGUUAUGUCUCUAUCCGAGGCAUAUUUCUGGGAGGGUAAUAAAAAUGGUCUUUUCAUGAGACACGAGAAAACAGUCCGUAUCAUCUGUACACACUGAGCUAAAAAAAUAAAGUAUUUGUAGAUUAAAUUGGACAUUUUGAGGUGUUAACGCAAAAAAGCUACCUUGCUUUUGGUAAUCAAUAAGGAAACAAGGACUUUAGGUCAUUAAAUUCUGUGAAGUGAACAUUUCUCCUUUGGAACCCAGUAAUAUAAUAGAGAGAGGCAAGUGAUAAAUACUAAAACAAGGGAAUAUAAUGACAUGAAUUGUGAUGUCAGAGAUGAUAUGAAGUGUUGUUGCACAUAGUAGGAUAUUUAAAUUGCACCAGAUAUUGCUCUUAUGGAAGCAGGACCUAAGUGUUAGGCAGUGGGUUUUUAAAUGUGUCUGUUCUUUAGGUCAAAUUUUAUUUGAUAUAUUGUUUAGAUCUUCCCUUCUGAAGUGUGGCCCAGGAAACAGCCAUACAUGGCAGGAAUCCUUAUGUGGUGCAGAAAUCCUCCUUGAUUCCAGAGAGUCUGAAUCCGAAUCUGCACUCCAGUGAAAUUUUUUCAGCUAAAGACAUCAGAUCAAAAAGUGCCUUAAUCCAGCUCUGAAGAGCAAUGGAUAGUUUCCUGGGUUCCUAGCCAAUAACUGACUGAUGCAGUCAUUUAAUGGUGAAAUCAUGUCCACAAGAUGGCCCGUCAGAAUACUGCUUUGUGGAGCUAUAAACCAAAGUUGCACGCGCCCCCUUGCAGACAAACGAGGGUGAAAUGAGACAGGCAUGACAUGGCUGGAAGAGAGAUGGAUCAAAGGAUUUCCUUACGUUGCAAUCAAUACUAAGUGCUGCUUUGACAUAUGUUAUCCACCGGGAGAGCAGAACUGGAGUUGUCAUAAAGUAAUUAGAGGCUGGAUUGGGGAGCAUUGUGCAUGCCCUUCAACCAAAUGCCACAGAAGGACUGAAGUAGCAUAUACCUUGCUAAAGAUAAGAGACAUACAACUUACUCUGUGGGCACCCCACAAACGCUUCAUCACCGUCAUUUUGACCGGUUGUGGAUGUGUGCAUGGGUCACUAUUGUUUGCAGAAAAGAAUUCUUUGAAACGCUCGUCAAAUUUUCCAUUUAGUAGCGCAUCUGCAGACGGAGGCGCACGCCAUCACUUCGGAUGGCCACAGAUCAAGUGCCAAUCUAUUUUAGAGAGGACUGAAACAGGAGGCAGAAGGCUGAACUCAGGAAACUUGAAAUCUGACUGCAGUUUGCAUGUGAAGGCUGAGAUGGCCUUAAAUGCUUCUGCCUAUUCCAUGACAGCACGGCACAACUCUGAACAAUGAUGAGGAUGAUCACGUGAUUCUGCAUUUUCCUCUAACUUGGCAGAAGACUAAUCUAGAACCUUAUGACAGCCUAUGUAUUUUCCCGUGAUAACCACCCUUCUCUUAGUCCACAUAGCCCUGAUGACAUUAUCCCAACUCCAGCCUGUGAUGUUGGAAAAGGCUUGGAGAGAUUCUUUACCUCUGACUGCAAGUUCAGAGACUGGCACAGGAAGAAAAUAGAUGCAGGAGUUGACUCCAGAUGGAAUUCUGCUAGGAACUGUUAGGAAGAUCUUCUUACCUUAUUUUAGAAGGACGCAAUGCUGGAAAUGCUCAUGCCUGAAACAUAGAGAUGUCAUGUUUAAAAUACAGUUAUCAUGAACAGCACCGUGUCAAACGAUGGUAAAUAAAGAGAUACCAA